UGCAAAUGUGUACAUUGUAAAUCAGUCUCUAUUUCUAAAAUACACAAUUUUCUUAGAAUUUAACAGAGCAAACUGUACAAUAACGAGUACAAGGCGAAAUAUGUUUUGAAAAGAAUCUUCCUUUUUCUUAUUAGCAUUUUUAAAAGGAAAUAUCUUUUCUGACUUUUAGUUUUGAGAACUAUUUUCAGUUUUUUUCUAAAGGGAGACUAUGUCCUGCAUCUGUAGUCACUUUAUUUAAAGCGUUCCGAAAAAGGGGAUUAUCUUCUUUAAGCAAAGCUUCUAAAUAACCGUCAAUCUGCUCCAGGUCUCCUGCCGGACUACCCUGGGGAAAGAGAAUCAACAGUCACAGCGGGCGAAGAAGCUGCAGGGUUUAUUCCUAUCAUCUGGGUGGCCUCUGAACAGUCUUCCCUAUGAUGCAUGUAGCCACAAAACCCACCUUGCCCUGGAAUAAUGCCUUUAAUCUUUUAAAAUGUUUUCACACUUAAUCUCAUUUUAUGCUCACAGGUGGUUAGGAACUUGGAUCAUUUUUUUUUCUUUUUAUGUGGAGUUUUUGUUACUAAAACAACAAUCAUCACUGAAGCUGUACUCUGUACCGGACCUUUCAAACAUAAAAAUAUUUGCUGCCUUUUACAGACACAAUAACCACACAUUUCUAUUUGCUGUAGAAAGAAGACGGACCUUUCCUCAUUAGCCCAAUCCAUCACAGGAGCCCUGUUCUUUAUGCCUUCAAGAUGAACAGCACACUUACACAAGGUUUCCUGACCUCUAUAACCUCUCCUCAAAGAUUAGAAGAGUCCGUUUCUAAUUAUGUAUUGAGAUAAACAUUAAAAUGUUUUGUUGUCUGAUAAGAUUAGAAAAAAUUUCCUACUGGAUAUACGCUACUGAGGAGACAAGUUGAUCAAACUAUACCAAACAGCACAAGCCAAGGUUCUGUUUUUUGUAAGAAAAAAAUAACAGACUUUUAAAAAAUGUUCUCAUA